UACAGGGGGUGCAAACGUUGCUCGGAAUCAUUGGGCGUAAAGCGCACGUAGGCGGUUCGUUAUGUCGGAUGUGAAAGCCCUUGGCUUAACCGAGGAAGUGCAUCCGAAAACUGGCGAGCUAGAGUACGAAAAGAGGAUCGCGGAAUUCCCCGGUGUAGAGGUGAAAUUCGUAGAUAUCGGGAGGAACACCGGUGGCGAAGGCGGCGAUCUGGGUCGAUACUGACGCUGAGGUGCGAAAGCGUGGGGAGCAAACAGG
rnacentral:rRNA from 1 species